GAUGAACGCUGACAGAAUGCUUAACACAUGCAAGUCGAUGGGGAAGUGGUGCUUGCACCCUGGUAACCAUGGCGGACGGGUGAGUAACGCGUAAGGAACUUGCCUGCGGGACUGGGAUAACAGCAGGAAACUGCUGAUAAUACCGGAUAAGGUCAUUAAGCUGCAUAGCUUAGUGAUGAAAGGAGACGCCUGCGGAGAGCCUUGCGUCCUAUUAGCUAGUUGGAGGGGUAACGGCCCACCAAGGCGAAGAUAGGUAGCCGGCCUGAGAGGGUGGACGGCCACAAGGGGACUGAGAUACGGCACUUACUCCUACGGGAGGCAGCAGUGGGGAAUAUUGGACAAUGGGGGCAACCCUGAUCCAGCAAUUCUGUGUGCACGAAGACGGUUUUCGGAUUGUAAAGUGCUUUCAGCAGGGAAGAAGGAAGUGACGGUACCUGCAGAAGAAGCGACGGCUAAAUACGUG
rnacentral:rRNA from 1 species